GUAGGUGGCAAGCGUUGUCCGGAAUUAUUGGGCGUAAAGCGCGCGCAGGUGGUUCUUUAAGUCUGAUGUGAAAGCCCCCGGCUCAACCGGGGAGGGUCAUUGGAAACUGGGGAACUUGAGUGCAGGAGAGGAAAGUGGAAUUCCACGUGUAGCGGUGAAAUGCGUAGAUAUGUGGAGGAACACCAGUGGCGAAGGCGACUUUCUGGCCUGUAACUGACACUGAGGCGCGAAAGCGUGGGGAGCAAACAGGGAUUAGAUACCCUGGUAGUCCACGCCGUAAACGAUGAGUGCUAAGUGUUGGGGGGGGUUUCCGCCCCCGUCAGUGCUGCAGCUAACGCAUUAAGCACUCCGCCUGGGAGUACGGUCGCAAGACUG
rnacentral:rRNA from 1 species